GGGCGUCCGCCCACAGGGCGACUGCAAUGAAGGAAACUGUGUCCUGCGGCUUCCCGUAACAGAGCUGUGUGUCCACGCUCCCUUUUCCGAGCAGGCGCGGACGCUUGUGCCGGAAGGUCUGACCGCCGUCGCCCAGACUGGAUAGAGUGCAAUGGCGCGAUCACGGCUCACUGCAGCCUCGACUUCCCAGGCUCAGAGAUGGGUUUCACCAUGUUUCCCAGCCUUGUCUCAAACUCCUGACCUCAAGUGAUCCGCCGUCUUGGGUCUUCAAAAGUGCUGGGAAUGCAGAAGUGAGCCACCGCAUCUGGCCCGGAAAGUGUUUUGGAGGGUAGAAAACUGCAAAUUAUAGGGCUGCCUUCAAGGAUCCCGAAGGACCCACAGAUUUGCCGCAUCAGGCUCCUAUGCGCGCCGGUAAUUUGAUGUGUUGAGAUGCACUGCCCAGUGCGUUGUUUUUACUGGAGGAGCUUGUGUGCGGAGCUCCUUGCUAGUGUCAUGUGUAUGUGUUGGGAUGGGAGAGAAGUGCAGGAGAACUAUGAGAUAAUGCCCCCUGAUCCUCAGGGUCUUAGGAGGUAUGGUCGGAGAGGCUAAGCUAAAGCGUGAAGGCCAUAUGUAGGGCCUUCUGUGUAGUGCAGAAAAGGGAGAGGUAUGUGGUUUGAAAGAAUAGGGAUGACAUGGAGGAUGCGACUCCUGGUUGGAUCUAUAAACUAAUGUCUUUGGGACGAAAGCACAUGCAACCUUUUGAAAAUGGAUGGGUGAUAACGAAAGACCAUUUCAGAGAAGAAACACCAGGGUGCAAAGGCUCAAGAGGCAUACUGGAAGUACAGUGAAGAGAGCAAUCUAACUGAAAUGGGAAAAAAAGAAACAAAGAGUAAAAAGAUUUGAUGAGAAAGAUGGAAUCGAUUUUUAAAUUUUUUUAUCUACACAACAAAAUUUAGCAUCUUAACCAUUUUCGAGUGAAUAAUUCGUUAGUAUUAAGUAUAUUUACCUUGUGCAGCCAGUCUCCAGAAUUCUUUUCAUCUUGCAAAACAAACCCCGCACCCAUUAAACAAUUUCUCAUUCGCCAUUUUCCAGCUAGCCUUGGUAACCUCCAUUCUAGUUCUGUCUCUAUGAAUUUGACUACUUUAGGUACCUCAUGUAAGUGAUAUCAUACAGUAUUUGUCUUUUUGCGACUGGCGUAGUUCACAUAGCAUAAUCUCCUUGUGGUUUAUCCAUGUUGUAGCAUGUGUCAGAAUUUCCUUCCCUUUUAAGACUAAAUAAUAUUCCACUGUAUGUAUA